CCUGGCUGGAGCACUGUCAUUUCUUCAUCUUUGACACCUUGCACAUACCACAUUCACUGUUAAUGAGAAAUUGUAUGUAUCUUAGCCAUGUGGUUUAUGACCCCUAGGAAGCUAAUGCUGAGCUCCAGCAGUGAGCUCGGAUGUUCUUUCCUCGCUUCAAUCUGCUUAGACGUGAGCCCAUCUUAAUCAUAACCCCCUGGUGUCUCUGUCACAGCGGCGAGAUGGAGAACGAUAUACCUAUCAUGACAAGUGCAUGGAUUCUAAAUGUGUUGGCCCUUCCUUGGCGCUCGCUCCACACAGCCUUGUGGAGUUGUUAUUCACACACGGGAGCAGAUGUUGUGAAGAGAAAACAGCGUGACAAGAUUGUGAUCGAUGCAUACUGCCCCAUCAAAAUCGCUGCAUAAUUUGGCGGAUGGCAUCAGGAUAACAACCCGCAUUAGCUGGAGACAGCUGUCGCCAUGGCGCCUGGCAGCAGAGUCCUAAAGUUGAGACAAUAUCCACAUCUGGAGAGCACACCAGGAAGACUUUGUCGUGUCUGUGACUAUCAUUAAAUGUGAAG
rnacentral:lncRNA from 1 species